rnacentral:rRNA from 1 species
GACCAGACUUUGAUUCUGGCUCAGGAUGAACGCUAGCUACAGGCUUAACACAUGCAAGUCGAGGGGAAACGAUAGAGAAAGCUUGCUUUUUCUAGGCGUCGACCGGCGCACGGGUGAGUAACGCGUAUCCAACCUGCCCAUCACUUGGGGAUAACCUUGCGAAAGUAAGACUAAUACCCAAUGACGUCUCUAGAAGACAUCUGAAGGAGAUUAAAGAUUUAUCGGUGAUGGAUGGGGAUGCGUCUGAUUAGCUUGUUGGCGGGGUAACGGCCCACCAAGGCGACGAUCAGUAGGGGUUCUGAGAGGAAGGUCCCCCACAUUGGAACUGAGACACGGUCCAAACUCCUACGGGAGGCAGCAGUGAGGAAUAUUGGUCAAUGGACGAGAGUCUGAACCAGCCAAGUAGCGUGCAGGAAGACGGCCCUAUGGGUUGUAAGCUGCUUUUAUAAGGGAAUAAAGUGAGUCUCGUGAGACUUUUUGCAUGUACCUUAUGAAUAAGGACCGGCUAAUUCCGUGCCAGCAGCCGCGGUAAUACGGAAGGUCCGGGCGUUAUCCGGAUUUAUUGGGUUUAAAGGGAGCGUAGGCCGGAGAUUAAGCGUGUUGUGAAAUGUAGACGCUCAACGUCUGCACUGCAGCGCGAACUGGUUUCCUUGAGUACGCACAAAGUGGGCGGAAUUCGUGGUGUAGCGGUGAAAUGCUUAGAUAUCACGAAGAACUCCGAUUGCGAAGGCAGCUCACUGGAGCGCAACUGACGCUGAAGCUCGAAAGUGCGGGUAUCGAACAGGAUUAGAUACCCUGGUAGUCCGCACGGUAAACGAUGGAUGCCCGCUGUUGGUCUGAAUAGGUCAGCGGCCAAGCGAAAGCAUUAAGCAUCCCACCUGGGGAGUACGCCGGCAACGGUGCAACUCAAAGGAAUUGACGG